GACAGAGACCAUAGAAGGAGUCGAUGCUGAGGAUGGGCACGGCCCAGGGGAACAACAGAAGCGGAAGAUCGUCCUGGACCCUUCAGGCUCCAUGAACAUCUACCUGGUGCUAGAUGGAUCAGACAGCAUUGGGGCCAGCAACUUCACAGGAGCCAAAAAGUGUCUAGUCAACUUAAUUGAGAAGGUGGCAAGUUAUGGUGUGAAGCCAAGAUAUGGUCUAGUGACAUAUGCCACAUACCCCAAAAUUUGGGUCAAAGUGUCUGAAGCAGACAGCAGUAAUGCAGACUGGGUCACGAAGCAGCUCAAUGAAAUCAAUUAUGAAGACCACAAGUUGAAGUCAGGGACUAACACCAAGAAGGCCCUCCAGGCAGUGUACAGCAUGAUGAGCUGGCCAGAUGACGUCCCUCCUGAAGGCUGGAACCGCACCCGCCAUGUCAUCAUCCUCAUGACUGAUGGAUUGCACAACAUGGGCGGGGACCCAAUUACUGUCAUUGAUGAGAUCCGGGACUUGCUAUACAUUGGCAAGGAUCGCAAAAACCCAAGGGAGGAUUAUCUGGAUGUCUAUGUGUUUGGGGUCGGGCCUUUGGUGAACCAAGUGAACAUCAAUGCUUUGGCUUCCAAGAAAGACAAUGAGCAACAUGUGUUCAAAGUCAAGGAUAUGGAAAACCUGGAAGAUGUUUUCUACCAAAUGAUCGGUAGGGAGAUACAAGGGAAUAAAGAACACAACUCUCCUCAG
rnacentral:misc_RNA from 1 species